CCCCUGGAAAAAGGGUAAGUGGAGGCCCAGGGGCCAUAUGUCCAAACAUAAUCAAGUUAUAAACCAAGUGAAGCACCUGUUGAAUAAAAUAUAUGCUAGCCUCCCAUUUUGACAAAUAUAUCUUCAAAACAACAACAAAAAAGGGGUAUAAAGCUAUAGCUUUUAUAUGAUGGAAAUUUAGCCAAAUAUGAAAGAUGACUGACUUAAAUUAUAAUUAAAAUCUAGGCAUUCUGUUGAUGAACCAGUGAUAACAGGGCGAAUUAUAAAACAAAAGCACAUCUAAUUCAUAAAUGACUAUGCAUUUACACCAUAAUUUUAGUGUUUAUGUUUUUGUUUCAGGAAAAUCACUAGUUGUGUUAUUAUACAACCAAGAUAUUCACAUCACGUGUUCUAUUGAUGGUAAUGAUCUGGAUUAAAAAAACAAAAUAAUUAACAAUAAUAUCUUUAAAAAAGGGAUCAUAUUCAAAGGAUUCAAAGUCUUAGCAUAUUUUAUCAUAAAGUGUAGCUCAAACUAAAUGGAAACUAUUUGAACAUAAAAUUUUCAUGUGCAUUUCAGAAAAGUAAUAUUUCUUUUACUAUGAUAAAAUUAAGGGUAAAAUACAAAUUUAAUGAAUAUAAAAAUGGUUCACCAAAGUUAUUUCAAUCAAGCUAAAUAAAACUAUUCCUACAAUUGUAGUAUGUAAUAGACACACAUUACCAGUGAAAAAAACCAGUAUCAUCCCUUAUGCACAUUGUGUCUAGACCACUGGUUCUCACCGGGGGGUGGUUUUGUCCCCCAGAAGCGUUUGGAGAUGUCUGGAGACAUCUGUGGUUGAUACAGCUUGCUAUGGUAUCUAGCCAGGAGGGGCCUGGGAUGCUGCUAAAUAUUCUACAAUGCACACAAAAAAGACUUCACCACUCUAAGAUGUCAGUAGUGCUGAGGUUGAGAAACCCUGGUAACACACACACACACACACACAGAAGAGACUCAUGAACUGUUGGAUACUGCCAAAUGUUCUUUCACUGCUAUGUGCAGUUGUUGUGGAUACUACGCUAAUUAUGGGUAACUCCAGAAUCACGAUUUGGAACAUGAAGAGAAGCAAGAAAAUGGACAGGCGAUGCAGACUGCAUUCUGCAAGAAUCUGUGGCCCUCUUGCUAGAACAGCAUGCUGUUUAGCUGCCAAAAUAUUAGGACUGAAAGCAGCUGGCAAAACUGUUCAUGGAGGAAGUGAGCCUGCUCGGAGAGGCCAAAGGAAAAUUCUCCUCGACUGUGACCCCAGAAGGACCCCCGGGCCUCAGGACCUCUUUUGGAAGCCUCUGCUCAGUCAGCUUGGGGCUCCCUCAGACCCCAGGGCCCCGGGGGCUCCUUUGAAGAGCAUAGGAGAAUGCCCCGACAUGAUCCUUUUAAAAACCUUUGCAGGCCUCUGUACAGGGGAGUUUGGCUUGAGGAAAAGUUUCUCAGGGGAAAUACUGUUGAAGCUGCCGAGAGUUAUCUGGGCUGAUCCCUUUCCAUGAUGCUUCUCUGGACGACAGGGACCCUCGGCUCCAGGAAGCUAGCGUGCAGCCGUGACCCAGCCAGCUAUCAUUGCUCUGUCCCGGUUCUCAGGGAAGGCCCCUCCAGCCCCUUCCUGCCCCUAGAUGGCACCUCCACAAAGAGCGAAUUUCCUCCCAUCCGUGACCUGGCAAACAGGAGCCAUCACAGGAGUGAAGAUACAUCAACAGAGGGCGGCAGGCACUUGUUUCAUCUCCCUGUUGGUGUAGUGCCUGAGACCUGAUUGUUUUAAAAUUAAAUAUUUUAAAACAUUUAAUUUUAAAAUAUUUAAUUUUAAAACAAACCAAAGGAAACUGAAACCGCCGCAUUGUUAGCAUUGGUUUUUAAAAAGUUCUCCCGGGCCGCCUGGGUGGCUCAGUUGGUUGAGCGUCCAACUCUAAAUUUUGGCUCGGGUC